rnacentral:rRNA from 1 species
GAUGAACGCUAGCGGCAGGCUUAACACAUGCAAGUCGAGGGGCAGCAUAAUGGAUAGCAAUAUCUAUGGUGGCGACCGGCGCACGGGUGCGUAACGCGUAUGCAACCUACCUUUAACAGGGGGAUAACACUGAGAAAUUGGUACUAAUACCCCAUAAUAUCAUAGAAGGCAUCUUUAUGGUUGAAAAUUCCGAUGGUUAGAGAUGGGCAUGCGUUGUAUUAGCUAGUUGGUGGGGUAACGGCUCACCAAGGCGACGAUACAUAGGGGGACUGAGAGGUUAACCCCCCACACUGGUACUGAGACACGGUCCAAACUCCUACGGGAGGCAGCAGUGAGGAAUAUUGGUCCAAUGGACGAGAGUCUGAACCAGCCAAGUAGCGUGAAGGAUGACUGCCCUAUGGGUUGUAAAACUUCUUUAUACGGGAAUAAAGUGAGGCACGUGUGCCUUUUUGUAUGUACCGUAUGAAUAAGGAUCGGCUAACUCCGUG